UUGUACAUGUUUGUUAAAGCCUUCCUGUAAUUGGAACAAUACAGAUUGCCAUGGCCUGUCAGCAAAGAUGACACACAAAUUAGUGAAGUCUUUCAUAUUUUU